rnacentral:piRNA from 1 species
UCAGCAAUUCCAAAAAAUUCA